CACGGAGGGAUUGAAAUUUAGGUCCUGGCUGGUGAAUUUGUGCGUGAUCGGACCUCGAGAUAACGCGUUUUUGUGCUGGCUUGCGCCCAGCGUGUGUUUCCAGGGAGACGAGAGCACAGCCGCGCCUGCUGGGCUGCUGCGCCUUCGUGAACGGAGGAGGUGGCAUCCAGCCGGGUGGGAGGGUGGCAGCGCUGUGGGCACUGUGGGACUGGGACAAAAGUCAAAGGAAAGAGAAUAAAAAGUCCGUGUGAGCAGAAGAGAUGCUUGCUUACUGUGGGCGAGGGAGCCCUGGUGCAGGCUGCACAGGGGCUGUGGUUUUCUCGGAGGUCUCCAGAAGACUGGGCAGCCUGCUCUGUGUUCCUGCUGGAGCAGGGGUAGGACCAGGUGGUCCCAAAGGUCCUGCCAACCUCAGCAAUGCCGUGUUUCUGAGAAUCUUAUUUCUUUAGGCUUCCUGCUCUCGUAGAGAGCAGCACAGGGUAGUUAUGCCUCAUAUGGGAGGUUGAGUGCCAUCGUUGUUUGCUCUAUCAUUGUAAACUAAGGGCAAAAUUAUUAUUUUUUUUUUUUUAAGGAAGUCUAUGAAGGGGAAAGUACUUCUGUUCAUCCAGGCAUUACAUACUUGGAGAUAGAUCUUCAGCUGUACAACACAAAGUAGCUUUAGAGAAAUAUUCUGAGCAAUUCAGCUUUAAAUGCAGCUUCCACCUAUACUGAGAUACUUGGAGAUCAGUAUAUUAGAUAUAUUUAUGGGCCUUUGCUUAACUACUUAACCCGAAGAAUAUGGUUCGGUUUGAAAUGCAUGGCACUGUGGAAAAUGCAUUACAUUCAUACAGUUUUUUUUUUUUUUUUUUUGGCCUGACAUACCUUUAGAAGCUGAUAUUCCUUGCUUGUGGGAAAGAUGUCUCCUGAGGCCCAGAAUCUUCUGAGGAUCUGAGUGUCUUAUGAAACUGAAUGCAAACAUGCUGAAGCAUUUCCCCAAUAUGUAAGAGAACUUUCUGUUUAAAUUGCUGAUUGUAUUAAGUGACUGAAUCAUAGUCUCCUUCUUCAAAGCAAACCACAGCACAACUGAAAAAAAAAGAGGAAUAAUGAAAUAGUAAUGCAUUUUACUUAACUCAAAAAGCUUAGCACAUUAAGAAUGCUGUAAGCUACUUCCUAACUCAUCUGGAAUGUUGGGGACCUUAAAAGGAGACCAGAGUAACUCCAGUACAUUAUCCAAUAAAGAGCUGAGAUGGCAGAAGAGUAUUUCCAUCUUCAGAAGCCACAACUUAAGAAGGGAGUAGUUUUGGACUUCAUGUUUGUCUACUCAUUGACACUGCAGGAACCUGACUCUAGUAUUCCAUGGUUACUACAGCAUGUGUGUCCUUUCUGGCUGGCACACCUACUGCCUGUAUGACAAGAAAUAACCUAUAACACCCUUCAGACAUCUCCUGGAUGGGCUGUGUUUGGACAUGUUAAAAGUUGGGAUGAGGAUGUGGGUGCUUGACAGAGACUUCCAAAAAUCAUUAAUGAUGGCUGCAUCUGCUCUCUUACCUAUCUUGUGAGUUGUAUGGGAACCGCUGAGGCCAGAACCUCUGAUUGAUCACCUGAGGCGAGCAACGAGUCAGCCACAGAGCACAGGUGAAGGCAAUUCACCUGUGCUGCCGGAAGGGAUGGAGCUUGGCCUCACCUCUCCUAGACACAUUUAAGAGCUGUCUACCAGGGGGAGGAUCUCUUCUGGAGAUCCCUCCUCUGGAGUUUUGCAGCGAGCCCAGGAUAUGGUUUCCAGUCAUGUGUCCCAAAGCGUAUAUGUGAGUUGCUGGGAAAGGCUCUCCAAAUUCUUGCUGCAACGAGGGCUCCCCAGCAACUGCAGAUCUGGAUGAUGUUUUGGCUGCCUAUAACUUCUAUGAAAAAGGAGCAUGUUACAUUUUAAAAUGUUCAUCAGCAUAGAUGAUGGACCUUCAUCUCAGCUGGCUUGAUAGCUCUCACUGAGGUUAAAACACAACUUUCAAGAGAAGCUACCUGGUUGAUGUGUACUUUGACUGAGAAAAAUAAAUGGAUAAUUUGGCAAAGGUUCGCUUUGCAGUCUUAAUCUUCUUUGAAUACCCUCUGAGAAUGGAGAUACGAUAUGAGAUCAGAAGUACUUUCCUAAUGUUUGUGGAACAGCACGGUCUUUCACCGAAACCAAAAUUAAAAGUUGAAGUGCUGCCAUUUGGCAUGGGGACACAAGAAAUCAGACAGAAGAUCCAGGCCCCUGCGUACUGCUGAGGCCAUGGAGGCAGUGGGACUCUUACCAGUAAACCCACUAAUUAAACAUUUGCAUUUGCCAGCUAACAGAAUGUAUUUGGCUUGUUUCUUCCUUGGGGCAACUUAUCAGGUACAAAUGGGGACUAUAUGCUGACAUCCAGAAUUUAGUCUGAAGAUGUGCUUCACUGGAGACUUAAGUGCAUAGCUCAGUUAUCUGACCAGCAUACUUAUUAAUAUCAAAGCUGUAAUGAUGAAAGCAGUAUUGAAGCCAAUUAUUGAUGAAAUUGUAACCAAGGAGAACAAUAGGGGAACAAGAAGAGUGUGAGCAAGAAAUUGGCAGAAUCAUUAAAAGAAUCAAAAGAAACAUACAUCAGGUUGUUAGUCUCAAAAAGAUCAUAGAAUCACUAAAGUUGGAAAAGACCUUCAAGAUCAGCUAGUCCAACAAUCCUCUUACCACCAAUAUUUCUUGACUAAACCAUGUCCCUUAGUACAGCAUGUAAAAAUUUACUGAAUGCCCCCAGAGGCAACUGGUUCCAUGGGCAGCCCAUUCUAGCACCUUACUACUCUUGCAGAGAAGAAAUUUUUCCUCAUAUCAAACCUGAGUCUCUCCUGGCACAAUUUGAGUCCAGCUCGUAGUUAUGUGGGAGAAGAGGCGGACCCCUACCUUGCCACAACCUCAGGGGAGUUGUAGAGGUCUUCCCUGAGCGUUCUCCAGACUAAGCAAUCCUGGUUUCUUCAGCUGUUCCCCAUCCUGUGUUCCAGAUCCCUCACCAGCUUCACUGCCCUUCAGGCACGCUCUAGGGCCUUGAUGUCUUUCUUGUAGUGAGGGGCCCUGAAAUUAACAAGUACAAGAGGUGCAACCUCAUCAGAGCAAAGUACAGAAGGAUGAUCACCUCCCUGCUCCUGCUGGCAACUCUAUUUCUGAUACAAGUCAGGAUGCCAUUGGCCAUCGUCACCUGGACACACUGCUGACUCAUGUUCAGCCAGCUGACAGCUAUCACUCCCAGACCUUUUCCUCUGCACAGUCUUCCAGCCACUCUGUCCAAAGUGUAUUGUGUUGCCUGGGAUUGUUGUGGCAAAAGUGCAGGACCUGGCACUUAGUCUUGUUGUGCUUCAUCCCAUUGGCUUCAGCCCAUUGAUCCUGCCUGUCUAUAUCUCUCUGUAGGGUCUUCCUACCUUCAGGCAGAUCAACACUUCUUCCCAACUUGGUGUCGCCUGUGAACUUACUGAGGAUGGGCUCAAUCCUCUUAUCCAGGUAAUCAGUAACAAUAUUAAACAGGAUGGGCCUUAAUACAGACCUCUGUGGAACACUGCUCACGAUUGGAUGCCAGUUGGAUAUAACUCCAUUCAGCACCACUCAGUGUGCCUGGCCCUCCAACCAUUUCCUGUACCCAGUACAGAGUGUACCCGUCCAAGUCAUGGGUCUUGAAGAGUGCUGGGGAAGACAGUGUCAAAGGUUUUGCUGAAGUCUAGAUAGACAACAUCAGCACCUUUUCCUAUCCAUCAGACAGAUCACUUAUCAUUGAAAGAGCUGAAGCAGGUUAAGCAGGACUUGCCUUUCAUGAACCUGUACUGGCUGAGCCUGAGCCCUCUGCUGUCCCACAAAUGCUGAGUGAUCUCAUUCAAGAUUAUCUGUAUGAUGGUCCUAAAGCAGAUGUAUAACUGAUGUUAGGUAAUAAAGAUGACGCCAAUAGAGGCAUACAGUUGUGCUUGGUAUGUUAUCAGAUAUACAAACAGGGAUAAGAGUAAGUAGGGAAAAGUUUCAAUUAUCAUACUAACAAUAUCUCUGUAAAGAAAAUGUCUCAGGUCAAAUGAAACCUCUGUGUUCUGGAUUGCACCAGAGGCUUUGUAUUGAUGCUAUAUGGAAGUUUCCUAAGAUGGCUCUCCUGUACAUCCUUACUGAAAAUAGGAACAUGAGAAGGCAGAGAUGUGGCUCAGGCAUCUGCCUCCUCACGUGGACCAAGGCCUGCGAGGGAGUUUGCUUCCCUUGUGUAUGGUAGCUUGAGCAUUUUUUAACCAUCUUCUAUCAUUUUCUCUCUGUAGUGCAGUAGUUGGGAGUAGGAGGUCUUGAUGAAUCCAGUCUGGUCCCCCUCCCACAGUACAGAUAUCUCAAGUCUGCCACUUUACACAGAUACUUAAUGUGUCGGCUUUCAUUUAUGUUAGUAUGAAGGAUCUAUACUUGAACUUGAUGGUGACUUUGCAGCCUUUAGCAGAAAUACAGUGAAAUUAAAUAUCAGCCAUAUUGCAUGAAAAUGUUACAGCUUAUGGCUUGAAAACUUUUAUGGAAAAUCAACUACUGAUUUACUUUACCAUUCCCUUUAUGAAGACAGAGCCAGCCUACAGUCAAGUCUACCACUGGUUUCCAGCUUUCUCUUACAGCUUCAGUGCACUUAAAUGUCCAGGAAUUAGCAUUUUAUGCCUGAUGCCUGGUGGAGCAGUCUUAAUGUGCAAGUCCUUCUCCAACUUGCAGGUGGUGAUGGUGUGUGCUGUGUGAACAAAAGCAGACAAGGGCUGUGCAUGUCUCUAUGCCACUGGCUUUUCUCAUGUUUGUAUUUGGGCAGAAAUGUGGUGGAAGGCUUUCCAUGCUUCAGGCUCCCAUCACCCUUUGUGCAAAGAUUGUUGUUGUUUCUCUGAAAUUAGUCAUGCUUGUAAUUCUUGUGCCAAGUCAGUGGGCUGGUGACUUUGGAGAGGCUGUGGUCACAAACGAUGGCUUUCAUUAAAUGAGACUAAAGGGCUGCUGGAUGCUUGUAAGGCUCAAAGGUGCUGAGAAGGGAUAUGCAGAGGGCACUUGGCUGUGUUUCUUUGCCUUUGGGCAACUUCUGGUCUGAUGCCACUGUCUGGACACUGUCCCUCCCCUAAAAUUCAAAUGAAUUCUCACAAUGUGGACAGUAGACUUUGUAUAAUUUGUUGCUUGUUUUGUCUCCCUUUUACCUGCUGUGGUAUUUUGGAAAAAAAAGAUACAACUUAGUACUCUCGCAUCUGUAACGCUUUUUGGGAACUUUUGUCAUGCUACCCUCUCCCUGCUUUCCAGUCUGGACAUCAAGCUCCUCUCCUGUAUCUAACUAUUUCUUCUUCUCACUACAGAAUGUAAAAUGUCUCUUCUAUUUUGAGCUCAGAAAUGUUCUGAAUUACAUCAUGUUAACAAAGAAUCAGAGUCUGUAGUUGGAAAACAGGAGAAGCCAGCGUAUUUCAUGGUGAAACAAGGAUGACAAAAGGGCUGUUUGGGUUUUUGGUCACACCCUGCAUAUGAGUUAUCUGGCAACUCACAGGAGCUGGUGCAGAAAUAAUCCAGUGGACCAUCUUACUAGAAAUCAUUAUAUGAUUAAAAUAUGCAUUUCUCAAAGUCUCUAAAGUGCUGAGAACAAAUCAGCUGCAAAAUUCAUCUUUAAUAUGCAACCUAUUUGCAAAUUAUGUCUAAGUAGAUCAGUAAUUACUAUGAGUCAGUGUGUGUUCAAUGUGCAAUGCAAAUUACUAACCCAGAUUAAAUUUUGGAGUGUCUAAGACUUCAGAUUUUAAUGUUGUCAUUUUUCAUCUAUAUCUCCCCAAAGGCCAACCCUUAUUUUUAAAAGUAUAUUAAUAUGUAUAUAUACGUACUUGGGAUGUUCAGCAAGCAUUGCUAUUUAUAUCAUUGAAAUGAAAAACUGUGAUAAAACCUUACAGUUUAUUCUGAUUCUGGGGUCAGGACAUGAUUAAUCCACACAUAAAUUCACUCUUACUGGUUGGGGAAAUGGACAGGAACUGUAUAUUUGCUAAUGCUUAUCACUCACUGGAGAACAUUAGCAUCCUUUUUUAACACAUUUUUCUGCAAAUGAUCAGUGCAUCAUCUUCAGCAGGGUUUCUCUUGGCUCAGCAAUGCUGCUUCAGCAGUAUUUCUUGUUUCAUGAUCACUUUCUCAUUUUUGUGCUGUAUGUUUUCAGUUCCCAGCCUCCAUGAUAUUGUUAUUAUUGUGGGGAUCUGCUAAAUAAGUACCAGAGUACCAGCAACUAGAUUACAUUUUCAGUGUAAGAGCUAAGAGUCAGACGCAUGUUUUGAGGAAGAAGGUGGUGUUGUUUUUUGAAAUUCCAAACCAAGUGCUAAUGGAUGUGCCUUCUCAUGGUCACUGUGAUCACAGUAUUUUGCUUGAUUAUUCUGGGAACAUGUUUUUCAAAUUGUCUUUUAAAACAGGCUUUUAAAGAAAUGAUGCUGUCCAUUCAGCCACAAGCAAACUCUAGAAACCUCUGAGAAAGAAACCUGAAUGUAGUGAACAUGGCAUUUAAAAGUCAGGGUUGCUGGGGCAGACUUAGUUCAGGCUCCUUGAGAUUGUGCAUUACACUAAAGGCUUUAAUUACUUGUUGUAUGUGUUUCUUCUCAAAAUCUUGCAUUCCUUAACACUGACAUCUGUGAACUUUUCAGCAUCACACUCUGUAUUAUUAACUUUUAUCUAGCAUCUGGCUUGUGGUGUGGAGGAAAUGUGGGGAUGUAAUUUCCUUAAAUUUUUAAAACUUAAUGGAAGUCACUGUUUUAGCUGAAGAAAUCAUACUGUUAUGAGCUCUGCUGACCACCUUUCAUAUCAGUUCUAGAGAGCGAUAAGGAGUUAUAACACUCUUCUCACAUAUUUGAGCUAAGAGAGUAACUGAUAGGUGUAGCAGCUCAGGUGACUUAAGUUUCCUAAAAUGCUAAGCAGUAAACCAAGAAAUAUGUAAAUCAGCCUGGGCCAUAGACCUCUCUUCCUGAAUGGUAUACAAUAUAAGGCUCUCUCCUAUCCUCUUCCAGCCGGAGAGGUUGAAACAAAUGUGAAGAUGCUCCAAGUGGAGUUCAAGUUCCAGGCUCAUAAUACUGGAUUAGUGUCAGUUCACUGUCAGCUCAUACAGCCUUUGUUCUCUGGGCAGCUAUUCAUCUGCUUUUCAGUUGAAUGGAAAUUGCAUUCAGUCUUUUCCCAGUUCCCUGUCAGUGCUCCCUAAGGGAUGCUUUCCCUAUGAGAAGCUAAGCACUCCCACUUUUCAAGAGCUGCUGAACCUCUCAGAGGAAGAGACCAUGCAGUAAAUGACAAAGUAUUUUUCUAAUGAAAAGAAUAUGUUGGAGGAGAAAAUAAUAUUUAAACAAAGCCCUGGAGACAGCUUAAGACUGUCUUCUUGAAGAAGGGCAGGCAUAUUUAAAGACUCAGAGGAACAAUAAGAACAUUUUUUUUAAAUCAAAAUUUCAUGAAAGAAAGAUCUUUGGGGUUGAGCGGAUGGAAUACAGAUUUCAGUUCUACCAGCUUUAAUUAAUACCAUAAAGUUCUGUUGGGAUCCUAUUAAAAAAAAUCCAGGAAUCCUUAUGGAAAUUAUUAUUUGACCUCCUGAUGCACCACUGAAAGAAAAAAAGACAGCUCCAGUGUCACAAAUUGCUCCAUGGGAGCAGAUUCUUUUACCAGUCACAAGCUCCAUUGAUUUUACUAAUUAAUAAGGUAGGUUCCUAAAGGGAGAGACCACCUGGCAGUAUUGGGGAAGCUCAGUACUUGGCUAGGUCUCUUCUUUAUGGUUUUACCUAGUUUGACUGGGGGUUAUUUAUGAUACCAACAUCACUAGCAUAGGUCCAGCUGUGCAGACCAGCAGGCAGCUCUGAGGUAAGAGGAAGAGCUCUGCCCAGCCUAAUGCCAUGUAAGGUGAUGUGGUGCUGUGUCUGGUCAGUGCAUCCAUCUACCUAACAACACAUGUUGCACAUAUAGUGGGGCUGUGUUGGCUUUCUCAUGUGUGUGUGCAAGUGGGGAGUGGGCCUGAACCAGGAGUCGAAGCCUGGAGGUCACUAUGUGGCCAGAAGAACAGGCUUUGGGAAUCACACUAGCUUCACCCGCCGUUCCAGGCCAGUGGAAUUCUGGAGCUGUGUGAGCAUGGCCAGCAUCAGUAGUGCAGCUCAGGGGCCUGGACAACUGUCCUUCCUGUGCAGAAACUUGCAGUGUGGAGGCCUGCUACCACGCAUGAAGAGAUGGAGUCAAAUCUCUACAUUUACCUGCAGAAAUUCUCUGGUACUUAUAAAUGAGUACCAGCCUACAACUGAUCUAAGUCUAGCUCUUUCAAUGUUGAAAUUGUGUAGAUAAGAACUUCUCUAUGAAAAGGAUAUCUUCUUUGACCAUUACAACUUUAAUAAUCGCUGCUACAGCUUUCUCUGAAAAUGCCUAGGCAGCCAUCGUCUUAGGAAAAGAAACUAAGAGCAAAAGACUUUCAGUGAAAGGCACUUCAUUUUCUUCUCUCUUUCCAUGAAAAAGUUCAUUGUUUCACCUCCUCAGUUUGUUGCUGCCUGUGGAGAAAGGAGUAAAUUAUUGCAUGCAGGCAGAAGAGAGGAAUGGUGCUGAACUGGGAUGAACAGGAGUUAUCAUCACAAUGAGAACUAGACAGAUAAGAAAUCAAUUGAUUCAUGUCAGAGAGUUGAUGUUAUAGUUUAAUAUCCCAGUAGUGACUGUGUUAUCUCUGAUGCCUUUUGGAACUGCUUGUACUUUGGUUUAAUCUUAAAUAAGAUUAAAUGCUUUCAAACAGAUUUGGUAAGCCCCUCAGGGGAACAGUUACUUGUCAUCUGUGAUUAUAUUUAAUUAGUGCGAGUGGGAAAUUUGCCAUUUUUCCCCUUAGUUGUAGCUCACUGAUUUCUGUCAAGCCUUUUGAGGGGUUCAAAAACAACAACAACAAACUCUAUUGAAUUUUGAUUUUCUGGCUUCAGAGACACAUUGUGCUACCAUAUGACUGAUAUGAAGUUUUAUAGCGAUUACUAUUGACACAGAAAGAUAUACUAUACCAGAGAACGUAAAAAAAAGUCUCUUCUGCACUAUCCAGAUAAUGCAUGCAUUUUCCUUUUCCUGUAUACAAAAAUGGAAGUGGAGGAAUGUGGCAAAACAAAUCAAGGUGAAUAAGUAUUGUUUCUUGUAGCAGUUUUGAUAGGACUUUCUAGAUUGGAAUUUAUACCAGUAGAACUAUAUUGCUCUCAUUAUAGUGCAGUAGUUAUGCUUGAAUAAAUUCCCAUGUGAGCAGUCUUAGGAAAGAGAGUAUUCAUGUAAAAAUCUAUGCAGUUUUAACUCUCUGGAGAUAAUUAUACCCGUGUUGGUUGACCUAUAAAUUUCUAGAUAAAAUCCUUAGUACAAAUGUCAGUCACCCACAGCCAGUACAUAACAAGCCUUUGAGCUAUCUACAGUGAGGUACUUGAGAGCAGCUCAGCUACCCAUCGUUUUGUUCUAGGAUUAUACCUGGUGACUUCUGUAUAUGUUUUCUAUUUAUUUGGUAGAAUUCAAGCAUUGGUAUAGAAUCAUACAAUCCUAGAAUGGUUUGGGUUGGAAGGGAUCUUUAAACUCCAAACCCCCCUGCAGUAGGCAGGGACACCUCCCACUAGACCAGGUUGCUC